GAAGGUGGGGAUGACGUCAAGUCCUCAUGGCCCUUAUGGUAGGGCUUCACACGUCAUCAAUGGUCGGUACAGAGGGCUGCCAACCCGUAAGGGGAGCCAAUCCUUUAAAACCGAUCGUAGUCCGGAUUGAGGUCUGCAACUCGACCUCAUGAAGUCGGAAUCGCUAGUAAUCGCGGAUCAGCAUGUCGCGGUGAAUACGUUCCCGGGUCUU
rnacentral:rRNA from 1 species